rnacentral:rRNA from 1 species
AGUGGCGGACGGGUGAGUAACGCGUGAGAAUCUGCCUUCAGGUCGGGGACAACAGAGGGAAACUUCUGCUAAUCCCGGAUGAGCCUUAGGGUAAAAAAUUUAUUGCCUGGAGAUGAGCUCGCGUCUGAUUAGCUAGUUGGUAAGGUAAAAGCUUACCAAGGCAACGAUCAGUAGCUGGUCUGAGAGGAUGAGCAGCCACACUGGGACUGAGACACGGCCCAGACUCCUACGGGAGGCAGCAGUGGGGAAUUUUCCGCAAUGGGCGAAAGCCUGACGGAGCAAGACCGCGUGGGGGAGGAAGGCUCUAGGGUUGUAAACCCCUUUUCUUUGGGAAGAACAAAAUGACGGUACCAAAGGAAUCAGCCUCGGCUAACUCCGUGCCAGCAGCCGCGGUAAUACGGAGGAGGCAAGCGUUAUCCGGAAUGAUUGGGCGUAAAGCGUCCGCAGGUGGCAAUGUAAGUCUGCUGUCAAAACCCAGGGCUCAACUCUGGUCAGGCAGUGGAAACUACAUAGCUAGAGUUCGGUAGGGGCAAAGGGAAUUCCCGGUGUAGCGGUGAAAUGCGUAGAGAUCGGGAAGAACAUCAGUGGCGAAAGCGCUUUGCUAGACCGAAACUGACACUCAGGGACGAAAGCUAGGGGAGCGAAUGGGAUUAGAUACCCC